rnacentral:rRNA from 1 species
CGGCGGACGGGUGGAGUAAUGCCUAGGAAUCUGCCUGGUAGUGGGGGACGAACGUUUCGAAAGGAACGCUAAUACCGCAUACGUCCUACGGGAGAAAGCAGGGACCUUCGGGCCUUGCGCUAUCAGAUGAGCCUAGGUCGGAUUAGCUAGUUGGUGAGGUAAUGGCUCACCAAGGCGACGAUCCGUAACUGGUCUGAGAGGAUGAUCAGUCACACUGGAACUGAGACACGGUCCAGACUCCUACGGGAGGCAGCAGGA